UAGUGGCGAACGGGUGAGUAACACGUGAGCAAUCUGCCCCUGACUCCGGAAUAACUACGGGAAACUGUAGCUAGUACCGGAUAUGCGCCGAACAGGCAUCUGUAUCGGUGGGAAAGAAUUUCGGUCAGGGAUGAGCUCGCGGCCUAUCAGCUUGUUGGUGAGGUAACGGCUCACCAAGGCGACGACGGGUAGCCGGCCUGAGAGGGUGACCGGCCACAUUGGGACUGAGACACGGCCCAGACUCCUACGGGAGGCAGCAGUGGGGAAUAUUGCACAAUGGGCGCAAGCCUGAUGCAGCAACGCCGCGUGAGGGAUGACGGCCUUCGGGUUGUAAACCUCUUUUAGCAGGGAAGAAGCGAAAGUGACGGUACCUGCAGAAAAAGCGCCGGCUAACUACGUGCCAGCAGCCGCGGUAAUACGUAGGGCGCAAGCGUUGUCCGGAAUUAUUGGGCGUAAAGAGCUCGUAGGCGGUCUGUCGCGUCUGCUGUGAAAUCCCGAGGCUCAACCUCGGGCUUGCAGUGGGUACGGGCAGACUAGAGUGCGGUAGGGGAGAAUGGAAUUCCUGGUGUAGCGGUGGAAUGCGCAGAUAUCAUGAGGAACACCGAUGGCGAAAGGCAGUUUCUCUGGGCCGUAACUGACGCUGAUGAGCUAAAGCCGUGGGGAGCGAACAGGGAUUUAGAU
rnacentral:rRNA from 1 species